UAAACGAUUUAAUACGAUAAAGUUGCAGAUGAUGGUUGAAAGGUUAGCUAGGCUGUCUGGUGAAUGGAGUAAUGGCGAUCGGCUGAAGGCUUAGGACCUGUGGUGUGGUCUGGCAGAUGAGUUGACAGUGGUGGUGUGAAAGGUUAAUUUGGUGCUGGAGUCCUGAGGCACAGGAGAGGUUUGGUUAGUUUAGAAGCAUGAGGAGCAGAACAAGAAAUAACUCAGAAUACUAGAGUGGCAGAGCGGCAGAGAGAGAGAGAGAGAGAGACAGAGAGAGACAGAGAGAGAGAGAGAGAGAGAGAGAGAGAGAGAGAGAGAGAGAGAGAGUCUCCCACUUGACAGGCUGAACAAACUGGCGGUGAAUGAAGGGAGAACUGGAGUACUUGAACUGAAGGUGAUGAGUUGAUUGUAGACAGGUGUGGAGAGAAGCCAGGAGCUGGGGGAGCACGGCAGAUCCUCGGAUUCAGCCUCCGCGCUGGACGGAGAGAGGAAAUGACAGCUUGGAAACACUUCCUGUCACACACAAAGCAUCCGGCUACAGCAGCCAGGUUUCUCAGACGGACUCCUGCAGGAAGUAGUCGGUGUAGUCAAUGGGGAUGUCAGACACACACAUACACUUCCAUUAUGAAUGGGGAAUUUGGAUUUGCAUGUCGCUCCCAGGCAUAUCUGACCGUUUCUUUGUAAAAGAGCUUUGUCUUUUUCAGACGUUCUGUCCCACCUGCGAGGUGAUGAGUCUGUUUUUAGACCUACAGACUCCAGCAGAC